GUUGAAUUUCGCUGGAGUUCUGCCGGAUUGCAUUGACGAUUGGAAAUUUGUAGUACGGCUAGAACUCCACGGACAUUCGAC
rfam:Culex pipiens quinquefasciatus supercont3.5 genomic scaffold, whole genome shotgun sequence.